GAUGAACGCUGGCGGCGUGCCUAAUACAUGCAAGUCGAGCGAACGGACGAGAAGCUUGCUUCUCUGAUGUUAGCGGCGGACGGGUGAGUAACACGUGGAUAACCUACCUAUAAGACUGGGAUAACUUCGGGAAACCGGAGCUAAUACCGGAUAAUAUUUUGAACCGCAUGGUUCAAAAGUGAAAGACGGUCUUGCUGUCACUUAUAGAUGGAUCCGCGCUGCAUUAGCUAGUUGGUAAGGUAACGGCUUACCAAGGCAACGAUGCAUAGCCGACCUGAGAGGGUGAUCGGCCACACUGGAACUGAGACACGGUCCAGACUCCUACGGGAGGCAGCAGUAGGGAAUCUUCCGCAAUGGGCGAAAGCCUGACGGAGCAACGCCGCGUGAGUGAUGAAGGUCUUCGGAUCGUAAAACUCUGUUAUUAGGGAAGAACAUAUGUGUAAGUAACUGUGCACAUCUUGACGGUACCUAAUCAGAAAGCCACGGCUAACUACGUGCCAGCAGCCGCGGUAAUACGUAGGUGGCAAGCGUUAUCCGGAAUUAUUGGGCGUAAAGCGCGCGUAGGCGGUUUUUUAAGUCUGAUGUGAAAGCCCACGGCUCAACCGUGGAGGGUCAUUGGAAACUGGAAAACUUGAGUGCAGAAGAGGAAAGUGGAAUUCCAUGUGUAGCGGUGAAAUGCGCAGAGAUAUGGAGGAACACCAGUGGCGAAGGCGACUUUCUGGUCUGUAACUGACGCUGAUGUGCGAAAGCGUGGGGAUCAAACAGGAUUAGAUACCCUGGUAGUCCACGCCGUAAACGAUGAGUGCUAAGUGUUAGGGGGUUUCCGCCCCUUAGUGCUGCAGCUAACGCAUUAAGCACUCCGCCUGGGGAGUACGACCGCAAGGUUGAAACUCAAAGGAAUUGACGGGGACCCGCACAAGCGGUGGAGCAUGUGGUUUAAUUCGAAGCAACGCGAAGAACCUUACCAAAUCUUGACAUCCUUUGACAACUCUAGAGAUAGAGCUUUCCCCUUCGGGGGACAAAGUGACAGGUGGUGCAUGGUCGUCGUCAGCUCGUGUCGUGAGAUGUUGGGUUAAGUCCCGCAACGAGCGCAACCCUUAAGCUUAGUUGCCAUCAUUAAGUUGGGCACUCUAAGUUGACUGCCGGUGACAAACCGGAGGAAGGUGGGGAUGACGUCAAAUCAUCAUGCCCCUUAUGAUUUGGGCUACACACGUGCUACAAUGGACAAUACAAAGGGCAGCGAAACCGCGAGGUCAAGCAAAUCCCAUAAAGUUGUUCUCAGUUCGGAUUGUAGUCUGCAACUCGACUACAUGAAGCUGGAAUCGCUAGUAAUCGUAGAUCAGCAUGCUACGGUGAAUACGUUCCCGGGUCU
rnacentral:rRNA from 1 species